CGGAAGUAAAGUCGUAACAAGGUUUCCGUAGGUGAACCUGCGGAAGGAUCAUUAAAAAAUUGGACUCCAUUGGUGAGUUCAUUAAUAAUCCCUACCCUUUGUGAAUUUGUUUGUUUGAAUAAUUUUUUUUCCAAAAAAAAUUAUUGAAUGUCUUUCCUUGUUUUGGUGGAGCUUGUAAAGUGAAACCAGGCAGGGGAAUGGCAAACAAUAAUUAUUUUUGAAAAAGACCUUUUUUUAAAAUUAAACUUUUUGUAUUCAUUUGUCUAAAAUUAAUUUUUAUAAUAUAAAAACAACUUUUGACAAUGGAUCUCUUGGUUCUCGCAACGAUGAAGAACGCAGCAAAAUGCGAUAAGUAGUGUGAAUUGCAGAAUACGUGAAUCAUCGAAUCUUCGAACGCAUAUUGCACUUUUUUAGUUUACUAGAAAAGUAUGUCUGUUUGAGUAUCAGUAAAAUAUUCUCAUAAAAAACAUUGUUUUUUUAUGGUUAUGAGUGUUUUACAACGAUAACAAGUUGUUUCACUUUAAAUUCUUUGUUAUCAAAAAAAUCAUUAAAAGCUAAUUUUAAAGAUUUUUUAAAAUUGGAUAAAAUUUUCCCGUAAAAAGGAAUAACCUAAACAAUUUUAAAAAAUUAAAAUUGGUUUGAUUUUUUUUGAAACCCAAAGGAAAAAAAAACGAAAUUAACUUGAUCUCAAAUCAGAUAAGAGUACCCGCUGAACUUAAGCAUAUCAAUAAGCGGAGGAAAAGAAACUAACUAGGAUUCCCUCAGUAACGGCGAGUGAAGCGGGAAGAGCUCAAAUUUGAAAUCUUCAAGGUUUUACCUUGACGAAUUGUAGUUUAAAGAAGUGUUUUCUGUUGGAGUUUUGGUAAAAGCUCUUUGGAAAAGGACAUCAUAGAGGGUGAGAAUCCCGUAUUUGACCAUUAUCUCCAGCUUUGUGAUACACUUUCAAAGAGUCGGAUUGUUUGGGAAUGCAGUCCAAAAUGGGUGGUAAAUUUCAUCUAAAGCUAAAUACUGGCGAGAGACCGAUAGCGAACAAGUACCGUGAGGGAAAGAUGAAAAGAACUUUGAAAAGAGAGUUAAACAGUACGUGAAAUUGUCAAAAGGGAAGCGUUUGACACCAGUGUUGUUUUCUCGAAAAUCAAUUAAAAAAGGCCGGAUUUUGUGUUGUAUUGACUUUAUCAGCUUUCUGCACUCUUUUCUUGUCUUUUUUAAUGCACUUUACGUUUAACAAGUCAACAUCAAUUUCUUUUGUUGUAAAAGGGUCAUUGGAAGGUGGCUUUCUUUUCGGAGAAAGUGUUUAUAGCCUUUGGCCUCUGCAAUCGGAGAGAUUGAGGUCUGCAGCGUAGAUCCUUCGGGGUUAGAUACAUUUGUGCUAAGUUAUAGCCUUUCAUAGACAACUUGUUGACUAUGAUCAGUCAUGUAGCUUACUCGCUUAUGCUAUUUUACCUACGCUUAGGAUGUUGAG
rnacentral:misc_RNA from 1 species